rnacentral:rRNA from 1 species
UAAGGAAUAUUGGACAAUGGUCGCAAGACUGAUCCAGCCAUGCCGCGUGCAGGAAGACGGCCCUAUGGGUUGUAAACUGCUUUUGUACCAGAGAAAACCUAUCUACGUGUAGAUAGCUGAUAGUAUGGUAAGAAUAAGCAUCGGCUAACUUCGUGCCAGCAGCCGCGGUAAGACGAAGGAUGCAAGCGUUAUCCGGAUUCAUUGGGUUUAAAGGGUGCGUAGGCGGGCUUGUAAGUCAGUGGUGGAAUCACUCAGCUUAACUGAGAAACUGCCAUUGAUACUGCAGGCCUAGAGUAUAGAUGACGUUGCCGGAAUAUGACAUGUAGUGGUGUAAUACUUAGAUAUGUCAUAGAACACCGAUUGCGAAGGCAGCUAACGAAACUAUAACUGACGCUGAGGCACGAAAGU